UAGUGCGGUUGCUCACAUACGCCGUUAAAUUUGUCGGAUAUUACACAAGUUUUUGUUUCACAUUUAAUAUCUUUAAGAACAUUAAGAAUGUAGAUAUCUGUAUUACAGUGAUAAUAUAAAUGUGGUGUUAUCAAGCAUAGUGAAGCCAACUUCUUCUGUGGACUACACAGGAAGACAUCGUCCAGAGGUCCCCAUCUGCUUUGGCUGACACGCAGCUCCAGUUCAUGUCCUUAUUUCCCUAUUUUUGGAUGACAUCUUCGUUCGAGGCUUCCAGUUCUACACUGAAGAUGGAGAUAUAUUGAGCACUACAAGUUUGUGUCACUGCAUGGCCAUCAACAGGU